AUUAAAAUCAAUUAAGAGUUACUUUAUACCUUGUUAUAAGUAUUUUUUUUAAAAAAAGCAAAUUAAAUUUUCAGUAUUUUUUAGCCCGAUUUGGUAGAUUUAGAGCCUAAUUCAACCCUUAGCCCAUAAAUCCAAGCCCAAUACCCAAUACUCAUUCCCUAACCCAACCCAAUCUAAAAAGACCUAAAGAACCUGGAUAAGAGAUAUAUCGUGAAGACCUCCCCCCCUAAUCGAUCAUCUUCUGGAGGAGACAAAAACACACAACUCCUCCUUCUUCCUAGACUGAACAUAAGCCUUAAAACGACCUUCAGCUGCCGGACCACCUCCAACGCCACUGGCCACUUCCUCGCCACCAACAAUACUAACCGCUAUUCCCUCACCUCCAUUAAUCUCCAUGUGAGCUGUCACUCUAGACCCCAAGCACAACAGUGACCCCCACCAGCUUCUUCUUCUUUGAAAACUAGCCAGAACAGACCACUCUUUCAGCCGUGGCUUCUUCCUCUUCUAGCCUUGAACACCUCUGAACGGAUCCCCACUGUUACCCUCGCCCAAAAGACCCCCUGCUUCUUCAACCUCUCGACACAAGAAAGGGAAUGACCUCCUCUCUCAAAUGAGUGAAGGUGCCGAAUUUGUGGGUGCUCGUUGAAUGCCGUUGGGUUUUGAAGUGUCUGUUUCGGUACUCAUUUAGGGGAAUACGCUUUGGCUCGUUGAGCUUUAGUUGCCGCCUUCAAGUGUAUUAUUUUACCAACAUCGAAUUUAUUGAAACUCCCUCUUCCAGGUGUGGAUCUAUGUACCAGGACUCGAGCAUGACAGAUACACCAGGACAAUUGCGUUCAGGAGUUACUUGAGGAGACGUUUUAUAUUUUGAGCCUGUUUUUUAAGUCUCUUAGGUGGUUUAAGAGUUUGUCGCGUCUUUCAUUAUCGUACUUUAUAUUUUGUAUUUGAAAGACCAAAAAAAAUAUAAAUGAAAAAUUCAAAAAGAUUUUUGUUUCUUAA